ACGAGAAGACCCCAUGGAGCUUUAAACCCAAUUAUAUCCCUAACCCCUAUACCCAUUUAACCUCUUAGGCCUAUAUACUUGGUUUUAGGUUGGGGCGACCACGGAGUAAAACCAAACCUCCAUGAUGUACGGAACAACCUCCUUAUCUAAGAGCCACAGCUCUAAGAAUUAGCACACUAUCAUAAAAUGACCCAUUAUUGAUCAACGAACCAAGUUACCCUGGGGAUAACAGCGCAAUCCAUUUUAAGAGCCCCUAUCGACAAAUGGGUUUACGACCUCGAUGUUGGAUCAGGAUAUCCCAGUGGUGCAGCAACUACUAAAGGUUCGUUUGUUCAACGAUCAAAAUCCU
rnacentral:rRNA from 1 species